rnacentral:lncRNA from 1 species
GGCAGGCGCCUGUAGUACCAGCUACUCUGGAGGCUGAGGCAGGAGAAUGGUGUGGAUUAUCUGACUGCAGGUCCUGGUCUGUCCUCCACAUUCCUCCACUGCUCACUUUAGUAAUUUGUCAGGUUCUAUGUUAUCAUUUUUUGUGUUAUAAAUAGUGGUUUUUACACUUUACAUCAUCUUGGUCACCUGUCGUCACUGAAUUUUGGGC